ensembl:lncRNA
AUGGGAAAUGACAAGAACAGCGCUUUUGGCAAAAACAUCUUUAAGCAUGGCAGAAAGUAUUUUGGGUUUAUAAAUCAUAUUGCAUUUUUUGUCAGCUCCCUUAGCGUGCCUUCAGAAAAAGGAUCUACAUGAGGAGCAACAACAUGAAAAACAAGCCCUCGUUAUUCUGAGCGCACCAUCGCCAAAUGUUAAAGUCAUUUGAUAAUUUAUCUGGAGGAAACAAACAAAAAAAAAGCAAAAAGCACACCAGACAAAACUUCCUCAGCCCAUUAAGGAGAGACUCAGUAACUGGAAAGUGGCAGUAAUUAACAUUUCUGCUGUUCUUCUUUGUGCGUGCCAACGUAAUUUAUGCGCUCGGAAACUUCUCAAAUAGAUCCUGCAGGAAGUUGCAGCCUAAGAAAAGAUGUCAGUGCUGAGCUAAAAAGACACCUGUCAAAGCUGAAGCUCCAUUUCUGCUCAGAUGCAACAAAGAUCUCGAUGAUCUAAGAAAGUAUGAAUAGUUGUUGAAGUGGAAGCAAGAAUGAGAAGUGGGCCCAGAAAGACCAGAAAAAGGCAAUGCUUUCUGGCAGCGGUGAGAAAAGGACGUAGGAAAUUCUGAUGUGAUUUAAGAAGAAGGGAUCAAACUUUAAAGAGAUCAAACUUUAAAGGAAACAAGGAAAGCGACUAUAAAUAGUAUUAAUAGUACCGAAUAAAGAGAAAGAGUUAGGCAGCUUUAAAGGCCAUAAUUUUUAUAUAUUUCAUUGCACUCUGUCCCAGAGUUCCCCAGUUGGUAAGGCUGAGAAGGAAAAGGAAAACAUUCCAGGUUUUUGCAUUAAUUUAAGACAUCAAAAGUAUGUUUUGGCUCAAGCAAAUGUACAUACUCUGGUCUAAAGAAUUGCUCCAUAAAACCAUUUUUUUUCUGUUCUCUAAGUCCUUGAGAUGUUAUUCAAAUGAGCAGUAUGUCACUUAGGAAUGGAAAUGGGUGAUGUACAGCUAAAGUUGGUCAGAGCUAACCCAGUGAAACAGCUGUGGCUGGGAAACAAAAAGUGGGGCACAAACCUGCAGGUCUACAGUUGCUGUCUUCCAGUGAGAGACCCAAAGGAUGCUGAAAUGCUCACCAGGACAGGAGGGGUUGAACAGCUCACAUCUGGGCAGAUUUUACUCUGGAGUGACCUUCAGGAUGGAAACAGGCCAGCUGCACGUGAAACAUCUGACAGUGGUCUUAUUUCCUCUACAAACAGUCCUGGUCCUCCUUUCGCUGGGAAGGCAAUAUUUGUGAUGGAGAAAUCCCAGCCGCUCCACAGAUCAGCUCCUGGCAUUUGUGAGAAGGGCAGCAAAGCAAAGCUGCGACGCAAGACCUGAAACACCAUUAGGGAAUAAGUGGCGACAUCUGGAACAGCAGCAGGACGCGAGGAACACCUUUUCUUCAAAAUUCAGAGCGUUUACCAUCUGUUCUAUAUGCUCUUCUAACUCACCACUAUUCUACUUGUCUGUGCCACUUAAAUAAACAUGUAUAUUACAGCCUCUUUUGAGGAACUGUCCUUUUCUGCAGAAGCCUUUUGAUACGGUCUUCUCCAUAAUGACCUACUAAACAGAAUACAAAGCCAAGCUUUUCACUG